UAGUCAUAUAUUCUGUAUUAUUAAUCACUUAAAUUUGUGCCCUGCCCUCCCCAGAGGCUGAUGACCCCCCUCUCUACACCCCUGCAUUCUGAGGCAGGGACCAGGCUCCCAACCGGCAUGGAAGAAUCUGUCCCCUGCCACCAUGGGGACACACACUGGCAGCAAAUGAGGGGGCUGCUGCCAGACUUCACUCAUCCAGAGAAGACUAGUAAGGAAAAUGUAGACCUCAGGUUAAAUGACAUCAUCCUGAUACAUUCAUCCCAUCAUGUUCCAGUUUUCCUGAAGAGGUGUUGGGAAAUCCUUAGUAGCUUCUCUUACUACAUCAUAUCCAGUCUUAGAGAUGAAGUUAUUUCUUAUCCUGUACUGGUCAGCAAUCCAUUGUUGUGUGGCUUGAAUAUUGACAACAAGCAGAGGAAGCCCUUGCUUAUAAGAUCUGAAUUAAUGUAUAUUCUUGGUUUACUCACUUUUAUGAAAUUUAAACUGUAUACAACCAAUAGUUCUUAUUGUAGAGGAAAAAAAUUCUACCAGCUUUGGUCAUGACAGAGCAAGUUUUAUAGGAUGCCUGAAAUUCCCUGGUCUGUAUGUAAAACAAUUUGCUGAAAGAAAGAUAACAUCCGUGGGAAGCUGAAUACCACCAAUCAAUCCUUUAGAUAUUUUAAGGGUUUUUUGUUUAUUUUAUUACACAUGAUAGCCAAGUGUUCUUAUUUCUGAAAGUAAGACUAUCCUACAUUGGAGAAAGGGAAUCAAAAACCUCACCAUAUAAACAUUUAAGCUUACUUGUUUAGUUUCACAAAUAAAAGAAAAUGACUUAAGAACUAAUUUGUAAUA
rnacentral:lncRNA from 1 species